rnacentral:lncRNA from 1 species
UGCUGUUGCUCUUUACCACUACCGCCACCGCCGUGGUCCUUAGUGCCCAAGCCGCCCCCUUGCUCGUCUUGGGGAUUCGCAUCAGUGCUGUGAAGUCUCUUGGGGCAGCGGAAUCGCAGAUGUGCCACAUAGGGGAACUCAAACUGGAAACGUUGGCUGCAUUCCAGUUCCAUUCGGGACAACACCUCAGAAGCUUCGUCCACCCUAUGAUGUGCCCAAGAUAAGCAAGGAAAUUACCCUCAGACACCUCCGUCACACUUGCUGAGACUCACCCGGAAGAUGUAAGGUACUGUUCUCUUGUCCGUGGACUUGAGGGCUACGAAGGCUAUGCUGUCAUACAGGGAAGUAUGGCUCAGAACACAGGGACCGAAUAUGGCGUUCUCUGGGAUGUCGCAGGUUGUAUAUACACUGGUAAAAAUGUCUGUCAGACACUGUUGGACAGCCUUGGCAUCUCCAUCCCAGAUGCCUCUCUGGAUGCCUGAAUCCUCCAUCACUGGAGACAGAUACCCAGGACGAGAAGAGAGUUGUUAUUGCAUUUUCUGCUACGAACCUCGAACCUCGGCAGAGCAUUUCCGCUACCAGACAUAUUUUCUUUGCACUUGCCGGCUUUUUUUUUUUUUUUUUUACAUAGUUCCUACUUUAAAAAUCAAGCAGAUCAAUCUGG